rnacentral:rRNA from 1 species
UCGACGAGAACGGAUAUUAGCUUGCUAAUAUUGUCAGCUAAGUGGCGCACGCGGUGAGUAAUAUAUAGUUAAUCCGCCCCAAAGAAGAGAAUAAUUGUUGGAAACGACCUGUAAUGCUCUAUAUGCCUUUAUUACAUAAGUAAGCAAGGGAAACAUUUAUGGCUUUGGGAUGAGACUGUACGGUAUCAGCUAGUUGGUGAGGUAAUGGCUCACCAAGGCUAUGACAUCCAACUGGUUUGAGAGGAUGAUCAGUCACACUGGAACUGAGACACGGUCCAGACUCCUACGGGAGGCAGCAGUGGGGAAUAUUGCACAAUGGAGGAAACUCUGAUGCAGCAACGCCGCGUGGAGGAUGACACAUUUCGGUGCGUAAACUCCUUUUAUAUGAGAAGAUAAUGACGGUAUCAUAUGAAUAAGCACCGGCUAACUCCGUGCCAGCAGCCGCGGUAAUACGGGGGGUGCAAGCGUUACUCGGAAUCACUGGGCGUAAAGAGCAUGUAGGCUGGUUUGUAAGUUGGAAGUGAAAUCCUAUGGCUUAACCAUAGAGCUGCUUCCAAAACUGCAGACCUAGAAUAUGGGAGAGGUAGAUGGAAUUUCCGGUGUAGGGGUAAAAUCCGUAGAGAUCAGAAGGAAUACCGAUUGCGAAGGCGAUCUACUGGAACAUUAUUGACGCUGAGAUGCGAAAGCGUGGGGAGCAAACAGGAUUA